rnacentral:lncRNA from 1 species
CGGGUCGGGUUCGGGUAUUAUACUAUCUGUAUAUCUACUACCCAUAAAAAUAAUAAUAAAAAUUUAAUUUUUUAUUUUAUUAAGUUAAAUUUAAUUAAAAUUAGGCUUAAUUACCUUUUUAGUCUCCAAGUUGGGGGCUGAAUUUCUGUUUGGUACUCGCUUUUAAAAAUGAUGUUAAUUUUGCUGUUAGUAGGUUCGUUCCCUUAAGUAGGUAGAAACGGAGUUAACUGACUGUAAUUUUCUUCUCUCUCUUCUGCAUUUCCUGACACUUUUUUCUCUCUUCCUAUUUCUCUCACCAUUUAAUGUUUCCCUUUUGUUGGAUUCUCUCUCCACUUGAAUAGCCAUUUAACCAAUCUAAAAAUUUCCUCUGCACCUUUAUUUUCUUGUUCCAAAUCUUCAUUAUUUGUUUAAUUUUUUUUUAACAAUACGCACACCUAUAUAUCCAAGAAAAUAAUAACCCAUCCAACAUUCUUUUCCCUUCUACUAUUCUAAGUUUUUUAAUCACCCAUACACCACCAAAUAGUAUCCAAUGUCCACACCUCUAAACCCUUAAUCCUUAUACUAGAAACAACCCUAACUCUCAUCCAUUUUCCUUCUCUCCUGUAUACAACCAAGAAGCAUAAUACCUCUCAUGCAACCACCCUAUACUCUCAUUGCUCACAGACCACUCCUCCCAUCCCCUCCAAACUCUCUUCCCUUAUAUUCUCUCUUUUUCACGUAGAUAUAGUAUCAAAAUUCUCCUUCCUAGUAAAUACUCACGUGCACAAUCACUUCUCUCUCCCCCCUUUUUUUCUUUUCAGAAAAGACCAAACCCCUACACUCCCUUAAUUCUUGGUAUCUGUUAUUUCCUCUUAGCUCUUCUCUCUUCUCCUUAUUUAUAUCACCCUCUUCCACAAUUCUUCCAUCUCCCCAAUAACCCAAGACUAGGGAAACUAUCCCACCUCCCUUUACACCAUUGUCUCCACGCCUAAACUACAUCCAUUCUUCAUAAACCCAUCUCACUCAUCACACUACAAGAGCAUGUGACCACCGCCAUGUAAAACCUUCUCCCUUCUCGCCAUUCUUUUCUCAUAGAACACUUCUUCUUCUACCCAGCCCUCUCUCAUUAUUCACAAAACCCUCUUCCCAACCAAUUAUAUCACUUCCUUCACAUUUUACAAACAAACACAGAUUCUUUGCUCUCUUGCACAAUAAUUGUUGAAAUGCUUUUUAGUUGCAUUAAAGCUCACUCAACAAACCUAAAUUCCCCACUAAUGUAGUAUGGGGGCAACCUAGGGUCUAAUCCAAGGACUUGGUUCUUGUUAAGAUAGAAUUGUAGAAUUAAGCCUAUUUAUUUAAUAAAACUAAAACUAGGUGGGGAAAAUGAAAAUUAAAUGGAAUCUGAAAAAGAAAAGAACUAAAUGCUAAUGCAAAUGAAAGAUUCUAAUUAGUUCUAAAUGGAUGUAUGUAAUGCAAAGGUAUGAAUCUGAAACAAUAUUAGAAUAACAUCUACAAUAUUAUGUAACUAUAUAAAAGAAACUCAACUAAAGAAAAUUACUACUACUCGUGCAAAUCAAUAACAAAAUCCAAAUCUAAAUCUAUGAAUUACUAAAAUAAGAGAAAGAAACAAAAGAUGGAAAACUGGAAAUGAAUGCAAACAAAACAUAAAUGCUACAUGCACACUAUCUAUAUACAUGAUCGGGAAAACAAAAGAACUUAAUUUAACAAAUCUAAAAUUUCAUAUAACAGAACCAAAUCGCAAGGAAACAAGGAAUAUCAACACCUAAGAUUUACUCAAUGGAAAUACUAAAAAUUCAAAUGACAAACUAAAGAUAUGAGGUGAAAGCGAAAUUCAGAACCUAUCUACAAUAUACAACCCAAAUGAAAAUAUCAUAUACUAC